GACGAACCGUGCGAACGUUGUUCGGAAUCACUGGGCUUAAAGGGCGCGUAGGCGGGCAGUCAAGUCCGGGGUGAAAGCUUCCGGCUCAACCGGAAAAGGGCCUUGGAUACUGGCUGUCUGGAGGGAGGUAGGGGCAUGCGGAACUUCCGGUGGAGCGGUGAAAUGCGUAGAUAUCUGGAGGAACACCGGUGGCGAAGGCGGCAUCCUGGACCGACACUGACGCUGAGGAGCGAAAGCCAGGGGAGCAAACGGG
rnacentral:rRNA from 1 species